AACCGUGAUGGGAAGCUUCGUCG
rnacentral:siRNA from 1 species